CCUACGGGGGGCAGCAGUGGGGAAUAUUGGGCAAUGGGCGCAAGCCUGACCCAGCAACGCCGCGUGAAGGAAGAAGGCUUUCGGGUUGUAAACUUCUUUUCCCAGGGACGAAAAAAGUGACGGUACCUGAGGAAUAAGCCACGGCUAACUACGUGCCAGCAGCCGCGGUAAGAAGGAGGCGGGAAGCGUUAUCCGGAUUUAUUGGGUGGAAAGGGGGUGGUGGGGGGAACGGAAGUCAGAAGUGGAAACUCAGGGCUCAACCCUGAGCCUGCAUUUGAAACUGUGUUUCUUGAGUGAUGGAGAGGCAGUCGGAAUUCCGAGUGUAGCGGUGAAAUGCGUAGAUAUAAGGAGGAACACCAGUGGCGAAGGCGGAUUGCUGGACAGUAACUGACGCUGAGGCGCGAAAGCGUGGGGAGCAAACAGGAUUAGAUACCCCAGUAGUC
rnacentral:rRNA from 1 species